rnacentral:rRNA from 1 species
GAUGAACGCUGGCGGCGUGCCUAAUACAUGCAAGUCGAGCGAACAGACGAGGAGCUUGCUCCUCUGACGUUAGCGGCGGACGGGUGAGUAACACGUGGAUAACCUACCUAUAAGACUGGGAUAACUUCGGGAAACCGGAGCUAAUACCGGAUAAUAUAUUGAACCGCAUGGUUCAAUAGUGAAAGACGGUUUUGCUGUCACUUAUAGAUGGAUCCGCGCCGCAUUAGCUAGUUGGUAAGGUAACGGCUUACCAAGGCAACGAUGCGUAGCCGACCUGACAGGGGGAUCGGCCAAACUGGAACUGAGACACGGUCCAGACUACUACGGGAGGCAGCAGUAGGGAAUCUUCCGCAAUGGGCGAAAGCCUGACGGAGCAACGCCGCGUGAGUGAUGAAGGUCUUCGGAUCGUAAAACUCUGUUAUUAGGGAAGAACAAAUGUGUAAGUAACUAUGCACGUCUUGACGGUACCUAAUCAGAAAGCCACGGCUAACUACGUG